rnacentral:tRNA from 1 species
UCUAUUAUGACAGAUAAAUGUAUUGAAUUUAAGAUUCAUUUAUAAAAAUUAAUUUUUUUUUUAGAA